AAUUUAACCUCUGGCAGCAGGCUUAGACAUGCAGUCGAGCGGGGUGAGGUACUUCGGUACUGAUCCUAGCGGCGGACGGGUGAGUAAUGCUUAGGAAUCUGCCAUUUAGUGGGGGACAACAUUCCGAAAGGAAUGCUAAUACCGCAUACGUCCUACGGGAGAAAGCAGGGGAUCUUCGGACCUUGCGCUAAAUGAUGAGCCUAAGUCGGAUUAGCUAGUUGGUGGGGUAAAGGCCUACCAAGGCGACGAUCUGUAGCGGGUCUGAAAGGAUGAUCCGCCACACUGGGACUGAAACACGGCCCAGACUCCUACGGGAGGCAGCAGUGGGGAAUAUUGGACAAUGGGGGGAACCCUGAUCCAGCCAUGCCGCGUGUGUGAAGAAGGCCUUUUGGUUGUAAAGCACUUUAACCGAGGAGGAGGCUACCUAGAUUAAUACUCUGGGAUAGUGGACGUUACUCGCAGAAUAAGCACCGGCUAACUCUGUGCCAGCAGCCGCGGUAAUACAGAGGGUGCGAGCGUUAAUUGGAUUUUACUGGGCGUAAAGCGUGCGUAGGCGGCUUUUUAAGUCGGAUGUGAAAUCCCCGAGCUUAACUUGGGAAUUGCAUUCGAUACUGGGAAGCUAGAGUAUGGGAGAGGAUGGUAGAAUUCCAGGUGUAGCGGUGAAAUGCGUAGAGAUCUGGAGGAAUACCGAUGGCGAAGGCAGCCAUCUGGCCUAAUACUGACGCGGAGUACGCAUAGCUAGC
rnacentral:rRNA from 1 species